AUUGAACGCUGGCGGCAUGCUUUACACAUGCAAGUCGAACGGUAACAGGCCGCAAGGUGCUGACGAGUGGCGAACGGGUGAGUAAUGCAUCGGAACGUGCCCGGUCGUGGGGGAUAACGCAGCGAAAGCUGCGCUAAUACCGCAUACGAUCUAUGGAUGAAAGCGGGGGCCCGUAAGGCCUCGCGCGAUUGGAGCGGCCGAUGUCAGAUUAGGUAGUUGGUGGGGGAAAGGCUCACCAAGCCGACGAUCUGUAGCUGGUCUGAGAGGACGACCAGCAACACGGGGACUGAGACACGGCCCAGACUCCUACGGGAGGCAGCAGUGGGGAAUUUUGGACAAUGGGCACAAGCCUGAUCCAGCAAUGCCGCGUGCAGGGAGAAGGCCUUCGGGUUGUAAACUGCUUUUGUACGGAACGAAACGGUCUGGGUUAAUACCCUGGGCUAAUGACGGUACCGUAAGAAUAAGCACCGGCUAACUACGUGCCAGCAGCCGCAGUAAUAC
rnacentral:rRNA from 1 species